AGUGAACGCUGGCGGUAGGCCUAACACAUGCAAGUCGAACGGCAGCACAGUAAGAGCUUGCUCUUACGGGUGGCGAGUGGCGGACGGGUGAGGAAUACAUCGGAAUCUACUUUUUCGUGGGGGAUAACGUAGGGAAACUUACGCUAAUACCGCAUACGACCUACGGGUGAAAGCAGGGGAUCUUCGGACCUUGCGCGAUUGAAUGAGCCGAUGUCGGAUUAGCUAGUUGGCGGGGUAAAGGCCCACCAAGGCGACGAUCCGUAGCUGGUCUGAGAUGAUGAUAAGCCACACUGGAACUGAGACACGGUCCAGACUCCUACGGGAGGCAGCAGUGGGGAAUAUUGGACAAUGGGCGCAAGCCUGAUCCAGCCAUACCGCGUGGGUGAAGAAGGCCUUCGGGUUGUAAAGCCCUUUUGUUGGGAAAGAAAAGCAGCAGGUUAAUACCCCGCUGUUCUGACGGUACCCAAAGAAUAAGCACCGGCUAACUUCGU
rnacentral:rRNA from 1 species